CUACACAUGCAAGUCGAGCGAGAAAGUCCCUUCGGGGGCGAGUAGAGCGGCGGACGGGUGAGUAAUACGUGGGUAAUCUACCCUCGAGCCUGGAAUAACUCCGCGAAAGCGGGGCUAAUACCGGAUAAGACCACACGACACAUGUCGCGGGGUAGAAGGUGGCUUGUAUUCGUACAUGCUAUCACUUGAGGAUGAGCCCACGGCCUAUCAGCUUGUUGGUGAGGUAAGAGCUUACCAAGGCUAUGACGGGUAGCUGGUCUGAGAGGACGACUAGCCACACUGGGACUGAGACACGGCCCAGACUCCUACGGGAGGCAGCAGUGGGGAAUAUUGGGCAAUGGGCGAAAGCCUGACCCAGCGACGCCGCGUGGGCGAUGAAGGCCUUCGGGUUGUAAAGCCCUUUCGUGCGGAAAGAAUAGUCCCGUGGUGAAUAUCCGCGGGAUUUGACGGUACCGCAGGAAGAAGCACCGGCUAACUCCGUGCCAGCAGCCGCGGUAAUACGGAGGGUGCAAGCGUUGUUCGGAAUUAUUGGGCGUAAAGGGCGCGUAAGCGGUUGUGAUAGUCAGAUGUGAAAUCCUCCGGCUUAACUGGAGAACUGCAUCUGAAACUUC
rnacentral:rRNA from 1 species